GAGCGCUCACUCUGGGAGUUCAAGGUCAACAUCUGACCAUUGGCUGAAUCCAGUUUGCCAGGCUUCAUAAACUGAGUCAAUGCUGGGAAGACAAUGGCGUCCAUCAGUCUGUGCAUUUCCUGAUCACUAUCAGACAUUAGGAAAAAAGUCGAGUCUCUCCCAUCUGUUGAAGACACGGCAGUCAGAGUGAGUAGAGACUCCAUCCGGGUCGGUGUUCCUUGAGGAAACUGAGCAAAGAGACAUAAGAGAAAAAUAGGAAGAUGCUGAGAAUUGCUUUGGCAAAAGAGUUGGACUGGGUAUUGGUGCUGUGGAGUGGAAGUGAUAUCCAAGUGACUAUGCUCUCAGGAAGAGGACCAGGAGAAAUCACUUGUCAAAGAAAUGAUUCCAUUGUUUCAUUAGCUGGAAAAUCUGGAUCUGAUCUUUGGAAGGAGGAUUUGGAACAUAACGACCAUGCCUUUUAAUGAAAAGAUUAACAAUGCUUCAGAGCUGAAUAGUCCUGUAUUUGUUUAAAAUGGGCCUUGCAUUUUACUCUCUUGAGAACAUACAAUACCGACUCUUGUCCUGGGUUUAUAUACCAUUCCAAUCUCCUUGCCCAUGUUCUAAAUAAAGGUGGUAUGACUAUAUGUUUAAAAUAAG